CCCUCUGAAUUAUUACAACUUUGAAAUUCCAGGGCUUUCAGACAAAGGUAUGAGAGGAGGAAUAGCGGUUCCUCAGCAGCGUGUGUGUGUAUAACACGGCAAACAAACGGCAGCCCCGGCACAGCGAGGAGCAGCCGCAGAGCCCCAGGGCCGCCUUGUCCCGCUGCAGGCGCCUUCCCCUGCCGUGCAGUUCCGGGCGCAGCCAGCAGGGGCGCUGCUGGCUCCCGCCGGGCGGGGCGGGCGAUGAUUCCCCCGCGGCUGCAGGGGGCGCUGUGGCGCGAGCUCGGCCCCCUCUGCACACGGCACUGGCGGGCGGCCGGCGGGAGGGAUGGAGAAGGGGCUUCCUUUGGAGCCCUCAGGGACAGCCGGUCCCGCUGCGCCUCCGCACGGUGACAUGGACUGCAGCAGCAACCUUGGAAGCAGCUGGAACGGCAGAGGCGGGCGCACCCAGGGUGACAAAUGAAAUGAAGUGGACCUAGCCCGCACAGGAGAUGGGUGUUCUCACCGGUGUGAAUGCCUGAUGGCCCAUGGAGAUGUACUUCUCAGACAGACAGAACCUUCAAGGACAUACAUCUGAAUGCGGGAUUCCGGAACCCAGGAGCAGAUACACAUCAGUUCCUGGACAAGGCUUUGUCCAGAGCAGAACAGAGAAUAGACACAGCGUGAAUAUGAAGAACUCCAAGAAAGGACAAAGGGACUCUGCCGCAGGCAAGAAAAAGAGUAUAAAAACCAGACUCUGCCAAGUGGCAUUUGUGAUCACAGGGGAUUCAGUGCAAUAGGGGCAGGAUCUGAGUUCACCCAGCUCUGAUCCCAGGGUCGGUGCUGUCCUUGAUUGUUGGCUGUUGGGACUGUAUAUCGGUUGCAAAUAAAUUUACUUUAUUUUUAUUUAAA